UCACCCCUCAAGCCCCGCGCUUGGUGUUGGAUGGCCGGUCGAGUGAUCGACCCCUCCUAAAGACAAUGACGGCGGCCUGUGGUUCCCCCGGUACACUGAGCUUUUCAUUGAGCACGUAUCGGAUAAGGGCACCCGGGACCCGGUCCUCUCCUUUAACUAGGAAACUUCUAA
rnacentral:misc_RNA from 1 species